GGCACGGUAGCUUAGUGGUUAGCACUGGUGCCUCGCACCUCCAGGGUGGGGGUUCGAUUCCCACCUCUGCCC